GUACACUCCUGCGGGAGGCAGCAGUGGGGAAUUUUGGACAAUGGGCGAAAGCCUGAUCCAGCAAUGCCGCGUGAGUGAAGAAGGCCUUCGGGUUGUAAAGCUCUUUUGUCAGGGAAGAAACGGUGAGAGCUAAUAUCUUUUGCUAAUGACGGUACCUGAAGAAUAAGCACCGGCUAACUACGUGCCAGCAGCCGCGGUAAUACGUAGGGUGCAAGCGUUAAUCGGAAUUACUGGGCGUAAAGCGUGCGCAGGCGGUUUUGUAAGUCUGAUGUGAAAUCCCCGGGCUCAACCUGGGAAUUGCAUUGGAGACUGCAAGGCUAGAAUCUGGCAGAGGGGGGUAGAAUUCCACGUGUAGCAGUGAAAUGCGUAGAUAUGUGGAGGAACACCGAUGGCGAAGGCAGCCCCCUGGGUCAAGAUUGACGCUCAUGCACGAAAGCGUGGGGAGCAAACAGGAUUAGAUACCCCUGUAGUCC
rnacentral:rRNA from 1 species